CGUAUAACAUUUUGCUCCACUGAUGGUUGUUUUUAGAAGUUGUUGUUUAAGACAAAGACUCUGCUCAAGCAUGGUGGAUCUGUUAUGACAGUCAAACUUAAUGAAGUCCUUUGGCCUCAUCACUUAUUAUGAGUUCUACUCUUUGGUGAUAUUAUCACUCCUAAACUGCUUGUGUGUGACCUAUGGACAGAAUGCAAGCAUUCUUGACCUGGAUAUUGUCAUCUUUACAGGAACCAUUCAAUGACAGAUUUUACAAGAAAGUCCUAUUUUCUGAUCUGUCUUGAAGCUCCAUGUAGAAGGAAAUCUCCCAUCAUCCCUCACACGAAUCCCUUCAACCAAUCAUCUGCUGGUUCUCUUCAUGGUAAUUCAAGUCCUUUCUUUGUAUCUUCUGGCUUCUCUACACUGUUGCUGCCUUCAGAUCCACCCAGAGACAGGACAGAGUCACCCAGGCUCAGCUAAGAUCCUGCUGUUGUGUUUAACUACACUUCACGACACAUGAUGGACGCAGAAAGGAAUGACAACGGAUGAAGAACAAGCAAAGAACAGGAGACUUCUUAGGACUUCUUCUUAAGUGUGCUGGCCACAUCCUUCUAUGGGGGUAGCUGGGAUGUGGCCACAGGGACAGAAUCGGGUGGGCAGGAGAGGCGACAUGGUAGACAAGCACAGUGCAG
rnacentral:lncRNA from 1 species